UUCCAGCUCCAAUAGCGUAUAUUAAAGUUGUUGCAGUUAAAAAGCUCGUAGUUGGACCUUGGACCUGGACAGGCGGUCCGCCUCACGGUGAGUACUGUCUUGCUGGGUCUUUCCUCUUGGUGAUCUGUUGUUUCGGCAGCAGGGAACCAGGACCUUUACUUUGAAAAAAUUAGAGUGUUCAAAGCAGGCUCGACGCCGGAAUAUAUUAGCAUGGAAUAAUAAAAUAGGACGUGCAGUUCUAUUUUGUUGGUUUUUGGAAUCGCCGUAAUGAUUAAUAGGGACAGUCGGGGGCAUUAGUACUCACAUGCUAGAGGUGAAAUUCUUGGAUUUUGUGAAGACUAACUUCUGCGAAAGCAUUUGCCAAGGAUGUUUUCAUUA
rnacentral:rRNA from 1 species